rnacentral:rRNA from 1 species
UACGGGGGGGGCAAGCGUUGCUCGGAAUUACUGGGCGUAAAGGGCUCGUAGGCGGCCAACUAAGUCGGAUGUGAAAUCCCCAGGCUUAACCUGGGAACUGCAUCCGAUACUGGAUGGCUUGAAUCCGGGAGAGGGAUGCGGAAUUCCAGGUGUAGCGGUGAAAUGCGUAGAUAUCUGGAGGAACACCGGUGGCGAAGGCGGCAUCCUGGACCGGCAUUGACGCUGAGGAGCGAAAGCCAGGGGAGCAAACGGG